UACGUAGGGGGCGAGCGUUGUCCGAAGUUACUGGGCGUAAAGCGCGCGUAGGCGGUCAUUUAAGUCUGGGGUGAAAGGUUCAACGCUCAACGUGAACAGUGCCUUGGAUACUGGGUGACUUGAGUUCGGGAGGGGGCAGUGGAAUUCCAGGUGUAGCGGUGAAAUGCGCAGAUAUCGGGAAGAACACCCGUGGCUAAGGCGGCUCUCUAGUACGGUACUGACGCUGAGACGCGAAAGCGUGGGGAGCGAACAGG
rnacentral:rRNA from 1 species